UACGUAGGGUCCGAGCGUUGUCCGGAAUUACUGGGCGUAAAGAGCUCGUAGGCGGUUUGUCGCGUCGGCUGUGAAAGCCCGGAGCUCAACUCCGGGUCUGCAGUCGAUACGGGCAGACUUGAGUGUUGCAGGGGAGACUGGAAUUCCUGGUGUAGCGGUGAAAUGCGCAGAUAUCAGGAGGAACACCGGUGGCGAAGGCGGGUCUCUGGGCAACAACUGACGUUGAGGAGCGAAAGCGUGGGGGAGCGAACAGG
rnacentral:rRNA from 1 species